rnacentral:rRNA from 1 species
UCCGUAGGCGGUGUGGCAAGUCGGAAGUGAAAUCUCUGGGCUUAACUCAGAGGCUGCUUCCGAAACUGCCGUGCUAGAGUGCGAGAGAGGCAAGUGGAAUUGCGGGUGUAGCGGUGAAAUGCGUAGAUAUCCGCAGGAACAUCCGAGGCGAAAGCGGCUUGCUGGAUCGCAACUGACGCUGAGGGACGAAAGCUAGGGGAGCAAACAGGAUUAGAUACCCUGGUAGUCCUAGCCCUAAACCAUCAGGACUUGGGGUUUGCCCUGUACGGGGCAAGUCCCGUAGCUAACGCGUUAAGUCCUGCGCCUGGGGAGUACGGUCGCAAGGCUGAA